UCACCGGAUCUGGUGUCAAUUUAAAGAGCAAGUAACGUCUAAAUUAACUUUUUUUUGCUGAUGAACUGUAUAAAUGAGUGUCUAAUAGUGUUUUAAAUGUGUGCAUUCUUUAUUUUAGCAUUUUGGUGCAUUUUCUUUAAAAAUUAAAAAUUCUGUCUAAAAACCACAGUAAUGCGCCACCUUCAGCUGAAAACAUAGAAUUUGAGUCAUUUUGAAUAAAUUUUAGCCAAUGGCUAAAGAGUAAAGUACUACGUAAACCAGUAGAGUACUACGUAGCAGCUCCGUGCCAAAGUUAUAAAAGCAACGAGCGUCUCGGCCACGCCCUGUGGCGAGUGGGAGUUGGAUUUGCAAGCGAGUGUAGGAGGUCAGCGGUAGUUCAGCAUUAGCAUAUAGCAUUAGCAUAUCCUAGUCUUUAGCAUAUCUUUUAGUGUUAUAAAUACUUAUUUAGUGUUAGCUUGGCUGUUGUAUAUUAUAGUUUAGUUAGUGUUUGGCUGUUAGUGUAAUUGGGAAAGUAUUUCGGGUUUAGUGUUCCAUAUCGUCUUAGUAUUGGUGAGUAGGUGUAGUGUAGUAUGGUUGCGGUGACUCUGUGGGCAUUUUACCCGCGAUUCUGCACGUCUCCGUUUGAAGAGGGAGGCUGUGCCCACCGUGGCUCUUCCGCGAUUUAGAUGCAGCCCACCGAUUCUGCUCCCCCACCACGGCGGGCUCCAGUCUGAGGCUAAAUCUACCCAAGACACUGGCUGUCAGACUGAUUUAGCUGCAUGAAUGCACUUGUCCAGGCUGAUGUGAAACCUUCCCUGUAGCAAAGCCAGCCAGAAUGGAGUUCACAGCCGCAGUGUGUCUGGUGACCCACGGGGACCAUGAUGAAAAUUCAUCUUCCUGAAGGUCCCAGAGCGUCCAGACCCCCUGAAAAGACCAAGGUGUGAGGUGUCUGCUGUUGAUUCCAGCUUCCACCUCAGUGACAGUGCAAGCUCAGUGAACUGUUCAAGCCUGGCUGAUCACCUGAUAACUCCUGUCAUCUGGUUAUGACAGCAUGAGGAUGUCCUCACACACCUGUAACCUAUCAGCUCAUCUGGCAGAAUAGAGAGAGAAGAGACAACACCACAUCUCCUGUUCCUGGAAAGCCUUCAGCCUUCCUUCGAUGACUGAGAACCUCCAUCAGCUCUGUCUCCUGUCUGCCUACAAUUAUUAUAAUAAAUAUUGUGUUUGACAA